AGAAAAUAAAGGUGUAGGAGGCCAUUAAGGAAAAUAAAGUAAAUGAACUAAAAAAGAAAGAUAUGACUCCAGGAAGAACCAAAGAAGGGGAAUUAAAUUAUAAUAUACUCAAGAGUACAAAGUUAAAAUGACAAAAAUAUUCUGUUUACAUAUAUGUUAUAAAACUUACAGUAUACUAAUACUGGGAAAAUGGGUAAAGGAACCAUAAGAGAUUUUCAUCUAACAGAAUAAUCAGCAGAAACUGUAAUAUUAUUGACGAUAUGCAUUAGAUGCAUAUUGUUUAGAGAUGUGGAGGGAACUCUCCAAAACAAUAGUGGAAGAAGUAGAAGGUGGUUGCCUCUGGGAAGUUAGCAAAUUUUAUUCAGCAACAUAUAAAAGCAGUACAAAAUUACAAAUUGCACAAUUACCUAUCAUACAAACAUAUUUCAUCAGGAAAUCUAAUAAUGUAGUUUAGCAAAGUGUAAAAAUUAGUUGUCAAUCACAAUAAACACUAAUAAACAUUUGAUUAAUCACAAGUAUUACUGAUAUGAUCACUGGGGUGUUAACAUUGACAUCAGAAUGCUGACAAGGAUGCACACUAUUGUUGUCAUUAUUGCACAUUGUUCUGAAAAUGCUAGCCAAGACAUUAAAGAUAAGAAAAUGAGAAAAAAAUAAAGUAUAAAAUCCUUUGUAAAAGAAGGCAUGUUAUUAUUAUUUGCUAUAAUAUCACUAUCUAUUUCAAAAAAAAUUCUCUGGAAAGUAAUGAGCUGAAAGGUGACAUUUCAAAAUCAAUAUGCAAAAACAAUAGCUUUGCUCUCUUUUGAGAAUCAUAAUUGGCUAAACCCUCCCAUAUAUAUAAUUUAAAAGAGCAGUGAAACCAUGAAAUAAAAAAUAUAAAAUGGAUAUAUCCUUGUCUAUUUGAAAUGAAUAGACAAAGUCUAUGAAAAGAGUGUAUAAAGAUGUUAAUUCUGUCUAAACUGCAAUUAAAUUUAAAAUAAAUCAAUAUAAAUUUUUUCUGAGAAUUUGAUUAGAUUAAAAGGAUAAAGCAAUGUGAGUUGCUAUAAGUUUUUUUUUUUAAGUAAAAAGAUAGCACAUAAUAGAAAUAUCUAUUCCUAUAGUAUGUCUUCUUGGAGAAUAGGCCUCUGUCAUUAUGUAAUGCCCCUCUUUAGCCCUGAUCAUUUUCAUUGUUCUGAAGUUUGCAUGGCUUUUUAUAUUUAAAGCAAGAUGGUUCUGAUUUCAGAGCAGAAGGUCAUAUCAAAAGAAUAAAAUAGAGAAUACAAAAUAGACCCCAGAAUUUUUAAUUAACAAUACACUUGAAAACUAAAGCCAGUGGGGAGAUAGACAAAUUAUAGUUCCAAGAUAACAAAUGAUUAAAAAAAGAGACAGAUCUCUGCUAAUCUUAGAAUGAGUUCCAGAUUACAAAGGACUAGAAGAAAAACAUUUUAAAAAGUAUGGCCUAAGGUCUGAUACCAUGAAUUAAAUAUUUAGAUUUUUAACUACUAAAAGUUAAGAAAAAAAACUGGGACAAAAACAUCAAAAAAGGGUGAAAAGACAAAUGUUACUGAAGAAAAUUCAGUUAUAAAAUAAUAAAAUCUUUAUAAAUCCUCACUAUGUAAACCAUUAAAAAAACCUAAUGGGAAAUUAAACAUGGUAAUUCACUAGGGAACAUGUAUAAUGGCUUAAAUAGCUGUCCUAAAUUCUUUUGAUGGAAAUAAAAAUUAAAUUGGCUGUCCUGUAAAUAAUUUUUAAAAUAUUCAUUGAAAUUCUUCAAAGUGUACAUACCUUUUUAUCUGGCAAUUCUAAUUCUAGGAAUAUUUCUUUAAAAAUAAUUGAGUAAAAGUAUUUUUAAAAUGUAUAUACAAAGAUAUUGAUUCAACUUUGUUAUGGUGUAGAAUUUUUUGUAUAUUAUUGCAUUAAAUUUGCUAAUAUUUUACUGUAGGGUUUUUUUAAUGUCUGUGCAUGAGAGAUAUUGGCCUGUGAUUUUUCUUUCUUGUAAUAUCUAUCGAGUUACAGCAUUAAGCUAAUGUGGCAUCUUA
rnacentral:lncRNA from 1 species